GAUGAACGCUGGCGGCGUGCCUAAUACAUGCAAGUCGAGCGAAUGGAUUAAGAGCUUGCUCUUAUGAAGUUAGCGGCGGACGGGUGAGUAACACGUGGGUAACCUGCCCAUAAGACUGGGAUAACUCCGGGAAACCGGGGCUAAUACCGGAUAACAUUUUGAACCGCAUGGUUCGAAAUUGAAAGGCGGCUUCGGCUGUCACUUAUGGAUGGACCCGCGUCGCAUUGGCUAGUUGGUGAGGUAACGGCUCAACAAGGCAACGAUGCGUAGCCGACCUGAGAGGGUGAUCGGCCACACUGGGACUGAGACACGGCCCAGACUCCUACGGGAGGCAGCAGUAGGGAAUCUUCUGCAAUGGACGAAAGUCUGACGGAGCAACGCCGCGUGAGUGAUGAGGGCUUUCGGGUCGUAAAACUCUGUUGUUAGGGAAGAACAAGUGCUAGUUGAAUAAGCUGGCACCUUGACGGUACCUAACCAGAAAGCCACGGCUAACUACGUGCCAGCCGCCGCUGUAA
rnacentral:rRNA from 1 species